UGAAAGUUUCAAGGGAACAACAAUUCAGGGUCCAAACAAAAAGCUGAAUUACCCUUGCUGGAAGUGUGGUAAGGUUGGUCACUUUAAGAGAGACUGUAAAUUGAUGAAGAACAACAACAAGUUUGGUUCAAAGAACAAGAAUGAGGCUGGUCCUAACGGGUCCAAGGCCCCGGGCAAACAAGGAUGAUGAUAUUGCUUGGUGGGUUGAUUCAGGUGCAACAAGCCAUGUAUGCAAGGAUAUCCGUUGGUUUAAAGACUUUCAACCAAUUGAAGACGAAUCUUUCAUCAAGAUGGGGAAUAUUGCAACUGAACCAAUUAAAGGAAUAUGAACCGUGCAGCUUGUUUUUACUUCUGGAAAAUCUUUACUUUUGAACAAUGUUUUGUAUGCGCCCGAAAUUCGAAAGAAUCUGUUAAGUGGCAUUGUGUUGAAUAAUUGCGGUUACAAACAAGUGUUGGAAAGUGACAAGUAUAUCUUGUCAAGACAUGGUACUUUUGUUGGUUUUGGUUAUAUUUGUAAUGGCAUGUUUAUGUUUCUUUUAUGAAUGAAUCUACUUGUGUUGCUUCAACUA